UUGGAGGGCAAGUCUGGUGCCAGCAGCCGCGGUAAUUCCAGCUCCAAUAGCGUAUAUUAAAGUUGUUGCAGUUAAAAAGCUCGUAGUUGAAUUUCGGGGUUAGUAGGUUGGUCAUGCCUCUGGUAUGUACUGGUCUCACUGAUUCCUCCUUCCUGAUGAGCCGUAAUGCCAUUAAUUUGGUGUUGCGGGGAAUUUGGACUGUUACUUUGAAAAAAUUAGAGUGUUUAAAGCAAGCUAACGCUCGAAUACAUUAGCAUGGAAUAAUGAAAUAGGACGUUCGAUCCUAUUUUGUUGGUUUCUAGGAUUGACGUAAUGAUUAAUAGGGAUAGUUGGGGGCAUUAGUAUUCAAUUGUCAGAGGUGAAAUUCUUGGAUUUAUUGAAGACUAACUACUGCGAAAGCAUUUGCCAAGGAUGUUUUCAUUAAUCAAGAACGAAAGUUAGGGGAUCGAAGACGAUCAGAUACCGUCGUAGUCUUAACCAUAAACUAUGCCGACUAGGGAUCGGAUGAUGUUAAUUCUUUUUAAUGACUCAUUCGGCGCCUUACGGGAAAC
rnacentral:rRNA from 1 species